AUGCACGUGUGGACGUUGGUGUGCGUGUGCAAGAGUUUGGGCCUGAGAGAAUUGAAGAGAGACAUGGAGCGCGUGCUUGAGAGUGUGGCACUGGGUCGUGUAAUGUCUUUACAUGUGUGGAUGUCCGUCUCUGUGCUCUUCAAAGCCUCCCUCAGCUCCCUACAGAACUGGGUGAGAGGUCCCGUUCAUUACGGCUGUGUGAUGUGCCAUGCCUCAAUGGAAAACAGACGUAAGGUCCCUCACUGUGGUGCCCCUCUCUUCUCUUCUCCAAUUUUGUAUUGCGACAUGUUUUGUGAAAUUGCAACCUAAAUACAUUUUUUGAUUCAAUUUUGGGGUGCUUCAAAUGUUGAUAUUUUGAUGGCAAGUAGUGUCACAAGACUUUAAAGUGAUAGUUUUCAGACCUCCAGAAUGGGUUAACGUCCCAAGCCAUUUGUUCUAGCUACAGUGCCUUGCGAAAGUAUUCGGCCCCCUUGAACUUUGCGACCUUUUGCCACAUUUCAGGCUUCAAACAUAAAGAUAUAAAACUGUAUUUUUUUGUUAAGAAUCAACAACAAGUGGGACACAAUCAUGAAGUGGAACGACAUUUAUUGGAUAUUUCAAACUUUUUUAACAAAUCCAAAAACGGAAAAAUUGGGCGUGCAAAAUGAUUCAGCCCCCUUAAGUUAAUACUUUGUAGCGCCACCUUUUGCUGCGAUUACAGCUGCAAGUCGCUUGGGGUAUGUCUCUAUCAGUUUUGCACAUCGAGAGACUGACAUUUUUUCCCAUUCCUCCUUGCAAAACAGCUCGAGCUCAGUGAUGUUGGAUGGAGAACAUUUGUGAACAGCAGUUUUCAGUUCUUUCCACAGAUUCUCGAUUGGAUUCAGGUCUGGACUUUGACUUGGCCAUUCUAACACCUGGAUAUGUUUAUUUUUGAACCAUUCCAUUGUAGAUUUUGCUUUAUGUUUUGGAUCAUUGUCUUGUUGGAAGACAAAUCUCCGUCCCAGUCUCAGGUCUUUUGCAGACUCCAUCAGGUUUUCUUCCAGAAUGGUCCUGUAUUUGGCUCCAUCCAUCUUCCCAUCAAUUUUAACCAUCUUCCCUGUCCCUGCUGAAGAAAAGGAGGCCCACCACCAUGUUUGACAGUGGGGAUGGUGUGUUCAGCUGUGUUGCUUUUACUCCAAACAUAACGUUUUGCAUGGUUGCAAAACUGACCAGAGCACCUUCUUCCACAUGUUUGGUGUGUCUCCCAGGUGGCUUGUGGCAAACUUUAACUGACACUUUUUAUGGAUAUCUUUAAGAAAUGGCUUUCUUCUUGCCACUCUUCCAUAAAGGCCAGAUUUGUGCAAUAUACAACUGAUUGUUGUCCUAUGGACAGAGUCUCCCACCUCAGCUGUAGAUCUCUGCAGUUCAUCCAGAGUGAUCAUGGGCCUCUUGGCUGCAUCUCUGAUCAGUCUUCUCCUUGUAUGAGCUGAAAAUUUAGAGGGACGGCCAGGUCUUGGUAGAUUUGCAGUGGUCUGAUACUCCUUCCAUUUCAAUAUUAUCGCUUGCACAGUGCUCCUUGGGAUGUUUAAAGCUUGGGAAAUCUUUUUGUAUCCAAAUCCGGCUUUAAACUUCUUCACAACAGUAUCUCGGACCUGCCUGGUGUGUUCCUUGUUCUUCAUGAUGCUCUCUGCGCUUUUAACGGACCUCUGAGACUAUCACAGUGUAGGUGCAUUUAUACGGAGACUUGAUUACACACAGGUGGAUUGUAUUUAUCAUCAUUAGUCAUUUAGGUCAACAUUGGAUCAUUCAGAGAUCCUCACUGAACUUCUGGAGAGAGUUUGCUGCACUAAAAGUAAAGGGGCUGAAUAAUUUUGCACGCCCAAUUUUUCAGUUUUUGAUUUGUUAAAAAAGUUUGAAAUAUCUAAUAAAUG
rnacentral:lncRNA from 13 species